rnacentral:rRNA from 1 species
UACGUAGGGGGCUAGGGUUGUCCGGAAUCAUUGGGCGUAAAGCGCGUGUAGGCGGCCCGGUAAGUCCGCUGUGAAAGUCGGGGGCUCAACCCUCGGAUGCCGGUGGAUACUGUCGGGCUCGAGUACGGAAGAGGCGAGUGGAAUUCCUGGUGUAGCGGUGAAAUGCGCAGAUAUCAGGAGGAACACCGAUUGCGAAGGCAGCUCGCUGGGACGUUACUGACGCUGAGACGCGAAAGCGUGGGGAGCAAACAGG